CCGUCCCUUCCGUCAGUCCCGGGGCUUACCCGGGUGCAGAGGGCGAGGAGCACCAAGGCGAGGCUGAUGGGACCUGCGACGGAGGCGAGCAUGAUCGGGACGCGGUAGGAGGAUGCACAGCAGGGUGCAGAGGCGACGAGAGGCGCGGCCGGAGCCUGGAUUCGGACAGGGGCGGAGAAACCCGUGCAAUAUGCACUGUGUGUGAAGACAGCAGAUCAUAGGGACCUUGGAGAUCAUUCAGUGGAAACAUGAGACCACCCCCUUCAGAGUAUACAAGGUGGAAGACAGCGCCGAUGGGGUGUGGCUUCCUGCGCUGAUAAUCUCAAGGUUGGUAUGCUGAGUUGCUGGUGACUAAGCAAAGCCUGACACAGUUUCACAAGAGGUCCCUCAAACUCUGACCACCAUGGAGACUUGGCAAUCCAUUCAGGCUACUUUGAGAAGCAGUUCAAAACUGAUUUGUAUUCUAUG
ensembl:processed_transcript predicted gene 15270